rnacentral:lncRNA from 1 species
ACCACCACGGCGGCCAUCUUGAAUCCACCCACGUGACUCGGCGGCCAUCUUGAAUCCCUCCCACCACCACAGCGGCCAUCUUGAAUCCAGCCACGUGACGCGGCAGCCAUCUUGGAACCCCCCCAACCACCACGGCGGCCAUGUUGACUCGACCCAUGUGAUUCAGCGGCCAUCUUGGAUCCCCCCCUCCACCCCACUCGCCAUCUUGGACCCCUGGCGGCCAUGUUGGCUCGACCCACGUGACCCGGCGGCCAUCUUGUCCCUUUCCCCCCUUACAUCCCCGCAUGCCCCCCCCUCCCCGCAUGCCUUUAAGCCCCGCCCCCUGUACAUAAGCCCCGCCCCCUCCCCCUCCACGGAUGUAUGUAUAGAAACGGCUCGGAGGGGAAGCUCCGCCCCCCUGACCGGAAGUGGGCGGGGCCACAGCGCCUGUAAAUAACUCCUCCCCUCCCCCCCCUCCCCCCCCCCAAAGAAAACAAAAUGGCCGACCCUCAAAAAA